UACGAAGGGGGCUAGCGUUGUUCGGAAUUACUGGGCGUAAAGGGCGCGUAGGCGGCACUGUUAGUCAGGCGUGAAAGUCCUGGGCUCAACCUGGGAACUGCGCUUGAUACGGCAGAGCUAGAGGAUGGAAGAGGGUCGCGGAAUUCCCAGUGUAGAGGUGAAAUUCGUAGAUAUUGGGAAGAACACCGGUGGCGAAGGCGGCUCACUGGCCCGUAACUGACGCUCAUGCACGACAGCGUGGGGAUCAAACAGG
rnacentral:rRNA from 1 species